GAUGAAGAACGUAGCGAAAUGCGAUAAGUAAUGUGGAUUGCAGAAUUCAGUGAAUCAUCGAAUCUUUGAACGCAACUUGCGCUCUCUGGUAUUUCGGAGAGCAUGCCUGUUUGAGUAUCAUGAAAUCUCAACCAUUAGGGUUUCUUAAUGGCUUGGAAUUGGGUGUUGCCAGUCGCCUGGCUCGCCUUAAAAGAGUUAGCGUGUUUAACUUGUCUAUCUGGCGUAAUAAGUUUCGCUGGUGUCGGCUUGAGAAGUACGCUUCUAAUCGUCUUCGGACAAUUCUUGAACUCUGGUCUCAAAUCAGGUAGGGCUACCCGCUGAACUUAAGCAUAUCAAUAAGCGGAGGA
rnacentral:misc_RNA from 1 species